GACGAACGCUGGGCGGCGUGCUUAACACAUGCAAGUCGAACGGUGACGAGGAGCUUGCUCCUCUGAUCAGUGGCGAACGGUGAGUAACACGUGAGCAACCUGCCCCAGACUCUGGGAUAACAGUUGGAAACAGCUGCUAAUACCGGAUACGAGACGGAGAGGCAUCUCUACCGUCUGGAAAGUUUUCGGUCUGGGAUGGACUCGCGGCCUAUCAGCUAGUUGGUGAGGUAAUGGGCUCACCAAGGCGACGACGGGUAGCCGGCCUGAGAGGGCGACCGGCCACACUGGGACUGAGACACGGCCCAGACUCCUACGGGAGGCAGCAGUGGGGAAUAUUGCACAAUGGGCGAAAGCCUGAUGCGGCGACGCCGCGUGAGGGAUGACGGCCUUCGGGUUGUAAACCUCUUUCAGCAGGGAAGAAGCGAAAGUGACGGUACCUGCAGAAGAAGCACCGGCUAACUACGUG
rnacentral:rRNA from 1 species